rnacentral:misc_RNA from 1 species
UCUCCGUUGGUGAACCAGCGGAGGGAUCAUUACCAGAGUUUUACAACUCCCAACCCUUCUGUGAACCUACCUAUCGUUGCUUCGGCGGACUCGCCCCCGCGUUCGGCCGGCCCCGCGACGGCCCGCGACCUGGACGCAGGCGGCCGCCGGAGACCACACAAUCCUGUAUCCAUCAGUCUCUCUGAAUCCGCCGCAAGGCAAAACAAACGAAUCAAAACUUUCAACAAUGGAUCUCUUGGUUCUG